rnacentral:rRNA from 1 species
GGACGAACGCUGGCGGCGUGCUUAACACAUGUAAGUCGAACGGAAAGGCCCUGCUUUUGUGGGGUGCUCGAGUGGCGAACGGGUGAGUAACACGUGAGUAACCUGCCCUUGACUUUGGGAUAACUUCAGGAAACUGGGGCUAAUACCGGAUAGGAGCUCCUGCUGCAUGGUGGGGGUUGGAAAGUUUCGGCGGUUGGGGAUGGACUCGCGGCUUAUCAGCUUGUUGGUGGGGUAGUGGCUUACCAAGGCUUUGACGGGUAGCCGGCCUGAGAGGGUGACCGGCCACAUUGGGACUGAGAUACGGCCCAGACUCCUACGGGAGGCAGCAGUGGGGAAUAUUGCACAAUGGGCGGAAGCCUGAUGCAGCAACGCCGCGUGCGGGAUGACGGCCUUCGGGUUGUAAACCGCUUUCGCCUGUGACGAAGCGUGAGUGACGGUAAUGGGUAAAGAAGCACCGGCUAACUACGUG